UGGGGAAUAUUGCACAAUGGGCGCAAGCCUGAUGCAGCCAUGCCGCGUGUAUGAAGAAGGCCUUCGGGUUGUAAAGUACUUUCAGCGGGGAGGAAGGGAGUAAAGUUAAUACCUUUGCUCAUUGACGUUACCCGCAGAAGAAGCACCGGCUAACUCCGUGCCAGCAGCCGCGGUAAUACGGAGGGUGCAAGCGUUAAUCGGAAUUACUGGGCGUAAAGCGCACGCAGGCGGUUUGUUAAGUCAGAUGUGAAAUCCCCGGGCUCAACCUGGGAACUGCAUAUGAUACUGGCAAGCUUGAGUCUCGUAGAGGGGGGUAGAAUUCCAGGUGUAGCGGUGAAAUGCGUAGAGAUCUGGAGGAAUACCGGUGGCGAAGGCGGCCCCCUGGACGAAGACUGACGCUCAGGUGCGAAAGCGUGGGGAGCAAACAGG
rnacentral:rRNA from 1 species